AGAGUUUGAUCCUGGCUCAGGAUGAACGCUAGCGGCAGGCUUAACACAUGCAAGUCGAGGGGCAGCGGGGAGGAAGCUUGCUUUCUCCGCCGGCGACCGGCGCACGGGUGAGUAACACGUAUGCAACCUGCCCCUGUCAGGGGGACAACCCGCCGAAAGGCGGGCUAAACCCGCGUACAUGCCACCGGGGCAUCCCGGAGGCAGGAAAGGCUUCGGCCGGACAGGGAUGGGCAUGCGGCGCAUUAGGCAGUAGGCGGGGUAACGGCCCACCUAACCGACGAUGCGUAGGGGUUCUGAGAGGAAGGUCCCCCACACUGGUACUGAGACACGGACCAGACUCCUACGGGAGGCAGCAGUGAGGAAUAUUGGUCAAUGGUCGGGAGACUGAACCAGCCAAGCCGCGUGAGGGAGGAAGGUACAGAGUAUCGUAAACCUCCUUUGUCAGGGAACAAAGACUGGGACGCGUCCCCGGAUGAGUGUACCUGAAGAAAAAGCAUCGGCUAACUCCGUGCCAGCAGCCGCGGUAAUACGGAGGAUGCGAGCGUUAUCCGGAUUUAUUGGGUUUAAAGGGUGCGCAGGCGGUCUGUUAAGUCAGCGGUCAAAGCCCGGGGCUCAACCCCGGCCCGCCGUUGAAACUGGCAGUCUCGAGUUGGAGAGAAGUAUGCGGAAUGCGCGGUGUAGCGGUGAAAUGCAUAGAUAUCGCGCAGAACUCCGAUUGCGAAGGCAGCAUGCCGGCUCCACACUGACGCUGAGGCACGAAAGCGUGGGUAUCGAACAGGAUUAGAUACCCUGGUAGUCCACGCAGUAAACGAUGAAUGCUGGCUGUCCGGGGGGACUGACCCCUGGGUGGCGAAGCGAAAGCGAUAAGCAUUCCACCUGGGGAGUACGCCGGCAACGGUGAAACUCAAAGGAAUUGACGGGGGCCCGCACAAGCGGAGGAACAUGUGGUUUAAUUCGAUGAUACGCGAGGAACCUUACCCGGGCUCAAACGGGGAGUGGCGCAGGCAGAGACGCCUGUUUCCCACGGGACACUCCCCGAGGUGCUGCAUGGUUGUCGUCAGCUCGUGCCGUGAGGUGUCGGCUUAAGUGCCAUAACGAGCGCAACCCCCGCGUGCAGUUGCUAACAGUCAACGCUGAGGACUCUGCACGGACUGCCGGCGCAAGCCGCGAGGAAGGCGGGGAUGACGUCAAAUCAGCACGGCCCUUACGUCCGGGGCGACACACGUGUUACAAUGGGUGGUACAGCGGGAAGCCAGGCGGCGACGCCGAGCGGAACCCGAAAUCCACUCUCAGUUCGGAUCGGAGUCUGCAACCCGACUCCGUGAAGCUGGAUUCGCUAGUAAUCGCGCAUCAGCCAUGGCGCGGUGAAUACGUUCCCGGGCCUUGUACACACCGCCCGUCA
rnacentral:rRNA from 1 species